GGUUGAUCCUGCCAGUAGUCAUAUGCUUGUCUUAAAGAUUAAGCCAUGCAUGUCUAAGUAUAAACUUCCAUACGGUGAAACUGCGAAUGGCUCAUUACAACAGUUAUAGUUUAUUUGAUAAUACAGCUACAUGGAUAACCGUGGUAAUUCUAGAGCUAAUACAUGCGCAAAAACCUGACUUUUAGGAAGGGUUGCAUUUAUUAGAUAAAAAGCCAAUGCACACUUCGGUGUGGAUUCUGGUGAUUCAUAAUAACUUAGCGAAUCGCAUAGCUUAGGCUGGCGAUAAAUCAUU
rnacentral:rRNA from 1 species